AGACAGAACAGUGGUGCCGAGCAUGGCUAAAGCAUCUCUGCAUUCACAGGGAGAGGAGCGGAAGACCUUCUGGUGUGGGCUGGGCUGCAAUUCACUUGCAGGAGAAACAGCCCGGGUGUGGAGAGGUGGCCAUCCUUGGCAGGAUCCUUUCUAAAGAGCCGAGAAAUCAACAUAGAGCCUCUUCUAUCUGAUUCUCUAACAACUGCAGACCUUCCAUGAGUCAAGCUUUGUGUCAAAAGGACAAAUUAAAAGGACCUAUAAAAGGCACCGCCCAGCCCAAUGGACAGAUGCCCCAGGCUGCACAUUCUGUCAGUGCUGUUCUGCAAGAGGCCCAGACACACGCUGAAACAUCCAAGGUAAAACCAGCAAGCAGCUGACAUACAUUCCAUCAGCCGUCCCCCAAAACCCAUGUUCUCAACCAUUCGCAUUGUUCCAAU
rnacentral:lncRNA from 1 species